ensembl:lncRNA
CGAACCGCUGGCUCGCUCCUUCAUCGCAUGUCAACGGGCCCGCAGUGAAUCUCACUGAUCCAAACAUCUCGGCUCCGAACGAGAGAGCAGCAGCAGCGGGGAGAGAGCGUGUCAGCCACACAGUGUAUCACGCUUCAGCAGCAUCAUGCAGGCAGCACGCAGCCAGCACUGUUUCUAUGGAGCAGAGACCGCAGGCCUGAACCCAAUAGAGGUCGGACGCUGCGGUGUCCCAUCACGGAGGGUGCUGUGGGCAGAGGGAAGGAAAGGGGAGAAGGGAGACUCAUGUGCAACACUUUAAAAGAGCAGGGUUCUCCAUCUUGCUACGUCAGGG